rnacentral:rRNA from 1 species
CGACCCCAGGUCAGGCAGUAUUACCCACUGAAUUUAAGUAUAUCAAUAAGUAGAGGAAAAUAAACUUACAAAGAUUCUCUUAGUAAUGGUGAGCAAAUUGGGAAUAACCCAGCAUCCAAAUCGGGUGGCUCCAUCGUCUAAAUCAUAGUUCGGAAAAGCAUCCUUAGCGGUGGAUAAAGCCCAAGUCCCCUGGAAGGGGGCGCCAGAGAGGGUGAGAGCCUCGUUGUGCCCAGACACUAUCGCACCUGAGGCGCUAUCUAUAAGUCAGGUUGAUUGGGAAUACAGCCUAAAUCGGGCAGUGAAUUCAAUCCAAGGCUAAAUACGGGACCUAUUCUCAAACUUUAAAUAGGUAGGAUGGCACGACUGCUUUGUUGAGCCAUACCACGAAAUCAAGAGAUCCAAGUGGACCCUUUUAGGAAAGAAAAACUGGUGAUGCAGGAUAAACCAGAAGCUGGGUUAUGAUGCCAAACUGUGCACUAACCUAGAUCCCAUAAAGGGUGUUGAUCGAUUAAGAAAGUAGGUCGGUGGUCAUGGAAGUCGAAAUCCGCUAAGGUAUGUGUAAUAACUUACCUUCUGAAUCAACUAGCCCCAAAAAUUGAUGGCUCUUAAGCAUGCAACCUACACCCAACCAUCGAGGAAAGUGCCAGGCCCCGAUAAUUAGUUGGGCACGGCAGUCGCUGCAAAACCUUGGGUGCGAGCUCAAGCGGAGCAGUCUUCAGUGCAAAUAUUGGUGGUAGUAGCAAAUAUUCAAAUGAGAACUUUAAAGACUAAAGAUGGGAAAGGUUCUAUGUGAAUGACACUUGCACAUCGGUAAGCCAAUCCUAAGGGUUCGGGGAACCCCGACAGAUAGCACGUUUCGCGCCUACUCCAUAACGAAAUUGGGUUAAAAUUCUUGAACCGGGAUGUGGCUGUUGAUGGAAACAUUAGAAAGUAUGGAGAUGUUAGCAGGAGCCUCGAGAAGAGUUAUCUUUUCUAUUUAACAGCCUAUCCACCCUAGAAUCAUCUUAGAGAGAUAUAGGGUCCAGCGGCUGGAAGAGCACCGCAAGUCGCGUAAUGUCCGGUACCCUACUGAAGGCCCUUGAAAAUCCAGAAGACUAAAUGCCAUCCACGCCUGAUCAUACUCAUAACCGCAUCAGGUCUCCAAGGUUAAUAGCCUCUGGUCGAUGAAACAAUGUAGGCAAGCAAAGUCGGCAAAAUGGAUCCAUAACUUCGGGAAAAGGAUUAGCUCUGAGAGCUGGAUAUGGGGGUCCCAUUCCCUGAACCCCUUAGCUGUUGGUGGACUGCUCGAGCUUCUCCCACGGCGAGAGCAGGUCCCAGCUGGCCGGCUGAGGGAUGAACUUAGAGUCCUUCGGGGGCCUUCCCCGCGCAUCGAACAGCUAACUCAGAACUGGUACGGACAAGGGGAUUUCAACUAUUUUAUUAAAACAAAGCAUUGCGAUGGUCCCAACAGAUGUUCACCCUAAGUGAUUUCUACCCAAUGCUCUGAAUGUCAAAGUGAAUAAAUUCAACUAAGUGCGGGUAAAUGGUGGGAGUAACAAUAACUCUCUCAAGGUAGCUAAAUGCCUCAUCAUCUAAUUAGUGACACACAUGAAUGAAUUAAUAAGAUUCCCACCGUACCUUUCUACUAUCCAGUGAAACCACAACCAAGGGAACAAUCUUAGCAGAAUUAGUGGGGAAAGAAGAUCCUGUUGAGCUUGACUCUAGUCCGACUUUGUAGAAUGACUUGAGAGGUGUAGUAUAAGUGGGAGCCUAAAGGGGAAAGUGUAAUACCACUACAUUUAACGUUAUUUUACUUAUUCUGUGAAUUAGAAAUAGGGCACUGCCCCUUUUUUUGGACCUAGAGCUCGCUCUGUGGGCCGAUCCUAGUGGAAGACAUUGUCAGGUGGGAUGUUUGGAUGGGACGGUACAUUUGUUAAAAGAUAAUGAAGGUGUCCUAAUAUGAUCUCAACGAGAACAGAAAUAUCAUGUGGAACAGAAGGUUAAAAGCUCAUUUGAUUCUUAUUUCCAGUACGAAUACAAACCAUGAAAACAUGGCCUAACGAUCUUUUAGACCUUCAAAAUUCGAAGCUAGAGGUGUCAGAAAAGUUACCACUAGUAUAACUGGCUUGUGGAAGCCAAGCGUUCAUAGUGACGUUGCUUUUUAUCCUUCGAUGUCGUCAUUUUGUAUCAUUGUGAAGCAAAAUUCACCAAGAGUUGGAUUGUUCGUCCACCAAUAAGGAAAGUGAGCUAUGUUUAGACCAUUGUGAGAUAGGUUAGUUUUACCCUAGGGAUGACAGUGUCGCAAUAGUAAUUCAACCUAGAACGAGAGAAACCGUUGAUUCACACAAUUGGUUAUUACGCUUGGUUGAAAAGCCAGUGGCGUGAAGCUACUGUGUGUUGGAUUAUUACUGCAUGCCUCUAAGUCAGAAUCUAGGCUAGAAGUGAUGCAUGUAUCCUCCUCUAAGGGCAAGUGUCAUUGGCUAAGCCAUCACGAAGGAAGGGUCGCGAUGUCCACCUUGAAGUACAAUUUCCAUUGAGUAGCAGGUAGAAUCCUUUGCAAACAACUUAAAUACAUGACAGGGUAUUGUAAGUGGCAGAGUGGCCUUGCUGCCACGAUCUACUGAGAUUCAUCCCUUUGUCACUCCAGUUCGU